ACGCGAAGAACCUUACCAGGUCUUGACAUCCUUACGCCCGUCCUAGAGAUAGGACUUUCCCUUCGGGGACGUAAGUGACAGGUGGUGCAUGGUUGUCGUCAGCUCGUGUCGUGAGAUGUUGGGUUAAGUCCCGCAACGAGCGCAACCCUUGACCUUAGUUGCCAGCAUUCAGUUGGGCACUCUAAGGUGACUGCCGGUGACAAACCGGAGGAAGGUGGGGAUGACGUCAAAUCAUCAUGCCCCUUAUGACCUGGGCUACACAUGUGCUACAAUGGAUGGUACAAAGGGCUGCAACGCCGCGAGGCUUAGCCAAUCCCAUAAAACCAUUCUCAGUUCGGAUUGUAGGCUGCAACUCGCCUACAUGAAGCCGGAAUCGCUAGUAAUCGCAGAUCAGCAUGCUGCGGUGAAUACGUUCCCGGGCCUUGCACACACCGCCCGU
rnacentral:rRNA from 1 species